UUCUAAAGAAGAAAAAGACUGAAGACCAGCGGAACCAUAAAGCACACACAACAAGCAUGACAACAAUUUCCCUGCACUUCCACAGGCCAAGUACGUGCACGCAUGGGCCAGAAGCUGAAAGAUGUCCGUGCAUCUCGAAGACGUGCAGAAAAGCAGAUUGGGACCAAAGCACAAUGUCUACCAUGAUACAACCACCCA